rnacentral:rRNA from 1 species
GCCAUGCCGCGUGCAUGAUGACGGUCCUAUGGAUUGUAAACUGCUUUUAUACGAGAAAAAACACUGCUUCGUGAAGCAGCUUGACGGUAUCGUAAGAAUAAGGAUCGGCUAACUCCGUGCCAGCAGCCGCGGUAAUACGGAGGAUCCAAGCGUUAUCCGGAAUCAUUGGGUUUAAAGGGUCCGUAGGCGGUUUAAUAAGUCAGUGGUGAAAGCCCAUCGCUCAACGGUGGAACGGCCAUUGAUACUGUUAAACUUGAAUUAUUAGGAAGUAACUAGAAGAUGUAGUGUAGCGGUGAAAUGCUUAGAGAUUACAUGGAAUACCAAUUGCGAAGGCAGGUUACUACUAAUGGAUUGACGCUGAUGGACGAAAGCGUGGGUGGCGAACAGGAUUAAUUACCCUGGUAGUCCACGCCGUACACGAUGGAUACUAGCUGUUGGAAGCAAUUUCAGUGGCUAAGCGAAAGUGAUAAGUAUCCCACCUGGGGAGUACGUUCGCAAGAAUGAAACUCACAGGAAUUGACGGGGGCCCGCACAAGCGGUGGAGCAUGUGGUUUAAUUCGAUGAUACGCGAGGAACCUUACCAAGGCUUAAAUGUAGAUGGACCGAUUUGGAAACAGAUCUAU